AUGAAGUCAGAUGUGUACUGUAGUGUGGAACACAACCAACCAAUCUCUCUUUUGGAUAAACCUGGAAAAUCCCUCACCAUUUCCUGUAAAGUCUCUGGCUAUUCACUGGAAGACUGUAGCUACUGCACAAAUUGGAUAAAACAGUUCUCAGGAAAAGGUGUGGAAUGGAAUGGAAUCAGUGGUACUACACUACUGAUUGGAAGAGUAUGCUGUAGUGGAGACACAUACUAUAGUGAAAGGCAAAAAAACAAAAAAACAAAAAAAAAACAAAAAAACAAGUUCAGUAUCUCUAGGGACACGUCCAGCAGCACUGUAUCAAUAACAGGACAGAACAUGCAGACUGAAGACACAGCUGUGUAUUACUGUGCACGACAAUGA